rnacentral:rRNA from 1 species
UGCAGUUGAGCGCUGAGGUUGGUACUUGUACCGACUGGAUGAGCAGCGAACGGGUGAGUAACGCGUGGGGAAUCUGCCUUUGAGCGGGGGACAACAUUUGGAAACGAAUGCUAAUACCGCAUAAAAACUUUAAACACAAGUUUUAAGUUUGAAAGAUGCAAUUGCAUCACUCAAAGAUGAUCCCGCGUUGUAUUAGCUAGUUGGUGAGGUAAAGGCUCACCAAGGCGAUGAUACAUAGCCGACCUGAGAGGGUGAUCGGCCACAUUGGGACUGAGACACGGCCCAAACUCCUACGGGAGGCAGCAGUAGGGAAUCUUCGGCAAUGGACGAAAGUCUGACCGAGCAACGCCGCGUGAGUGAAGAAGGUUUUCGGAUCGUAAAACUCUGUUGGUAGAGAAGAACGUUGGUGAGAGUGGAAAACUCAUCAAGUGACGGUAACUACCCAGAAAGGGACGGCUAACUACGUGCCAGCAGCCGCGGUAAUACGUAGGUCCCGAGCGUUGUCCGGAUUUAUUGGGCGUAAAGCGAGCGCAGGUGGUUUAUUAAGUCUGGUGUAAAAGGCAGUGGCUCAACCAUUGUAUGCAUUGGAAACUGGUAGACUUGAGUGCAGGAGAGGAGAGUGGAAUUCCAUGUGUAGCGGUGAAAUGCGUAGAUAUAUGGAGGAACACCGGUGGCGAAAGCGGCUCUCUGGCCUGUAACUGACACUGAGGCUCGAAAGCGUGGGGAGCAAACAGGAUUAGAUACCCUGGUAGUCCACGCCGUAAACGAUGAGUGCUAGAUGUAGGGAGCUAUAAGUUCUCUGUAUCGCAGCUAACGCAAUAAGCACUCCGCCUGGGGAGUACGACCGCAAGGUUGAUACUCAAGGAAUUGACAGGGGCCCGCACAAGCUGUGGAGCAUGU